GACGAACGCUGGCGGCGCGCUUAACACAUGCCAGUCGAACGGAAAGGCCUGCUUUCCCUUGUGGAUUGCGGGUACUCGAGUGGCGAACGGGUGAGUAACACGUGAGUGAUCUGCCCCCAACUUGGGUAUAAGCCUGGGAAACUGGGUCUAAUUCCCGAUAGGACUGCAGGGUGGUGCCUGCGGUGGAAAACGAUUUUCUAGUGGUUGGGGAUGAGCUCGCGGCCUAUCAGCUUGUUGGUGGGGUAAUGGCCUACCAAGGCGGCGACGGGUAGCCGGCCUGAGAGGGGGGACGGCCACAUUGGGACUGAGAUACGGCCCAGACGCCUACGGGAGGCAGCAGUGGGGAAUAUUGCACAAUGGGCGGAAGCCUGAUGCAGCGACGCCGCGUGGGGGAUGACGGCCUUCGGGUUGUAAACUCCUUUCGACCGCGAGGAAGCCACCUGGUUGGAAGGGUGGUGACGGUAGUGGUAGAAGAAGCACCGGCUAACUACGUG
rnacentral:rRNA from 1 species